rnacentral:lncRNA from 1 species
GUGUAAACUCUCGACUGGAGGAAGGGAAGCACGACUAUACCACGGUCCUUCGUUUUUUCCUUUUUUUCCCUUAAACAUCUUUUAUUUCUAUUAAUAACGUAUCGUACUAGUUACCUAAUAUUAUCUUCAAGACAAAGAAAUAAUGGCCUUUGCUGGAUAUUGCCAUAAAUUCGAUAUAUUCUACAUAAAAUUGUUUUAAUAUCGACGAAAGAGAACGAUUCGAGCAGCUAAAAUUUGGCGCGAAAACGUGCAUGAUGGCGUCAUCAAUUUUGCAGAUUAGUUUUACCUCGUGAUAGAUAUAAUUUUUAUUCUUCAAAUUUAUAUUUUUGGAUAUAGUCUUACUGGCAGACAACGACGAUAGGACUGUCUUCUUUCAGAAUUUUUUGUGCUGAUUGCCAUAAUGUUACUAAUGACAUAGUCGCAGAUAAAAUCUGCGACUAACCUCUGAAUUGUCGACGAUUAUCAGUUUCUCUAACGUAUAGUAUUCAAAUGUUGAGAAUUCUUUCGUUCGAACAUUUAUAUAUGGUACAGGUUUAAAUUCUCUCUUUGGAACAAUAGGACAACACGUCUGUACAAAGGUCCACAAAAAGGGACGCAGGCUGCAAUUUUUCCAAUAUAAUGUGCAUAAGGGACUAAGUUUGAAAAUGUGAUAUUGGUGAACGGAGUUGAAAGAUAUAAAGGAGCGUCCCACUGCAAAUUGAUUUUCGACGAUGUCAGUGUCAUUCUGAAAUUCCUUACUUCCGAUGGCACUAUUGUGAACAGAUAUCUCAGGGAUCAAUGGAAUCGACGGAGGAAUUAAAUUUAAAAAAAGGUUUAACUACUACCUUCGUGAAGAGUUCGAACUUGUUGCGAGAAUAAUAGUAUCGUUGCUCCUUUGCUGAUUGUAAUUUUGUACAAGGUAUAAGAUUCUCGAACACGAAGUCGUACCAGUUGCUUGGACAAGGAUACAAGGAUUCCUAAAAAUCGAUAAAACAUUUUCAAACAGUAUGGAAAAAAAAUGUUGAAGAUAGAAGAAAUAAUUAUUACUUCUCGAUCCUUCGUCAAUAUUAAACUGGUAGUUUUUAUUUUUACGUGAAAAUUGAUAGUUGCUGAAAAAUUUUCUCAUUUAUUUCUUGUCGUUAUCUGUGCGCAGCCUAUAUGAAAUGUAAUAGCUUACGAAUGCAACGAGUCGUGAAAUUCUUCGAAUCACUAUAGGCUAUAGGUACAUUAUCAUCCAUGUGUAGCAUGUAAAAUAUCUUAUAAGUAGUGCCAGGCUCCAAAUCGUUGGCAUAUCCAAUCAUCGUUGAAAUAUUAUCAAAUAUUUUGGUAUAGUUUUCCACAGUUUUCAAUUCUGGAUAAGAAAUAUUAUCUUCUAUUUUCUGGUAAAAGAUAUAUUGAUCGCUUAUAAAAUUGAAAACAGAAAAUUAUAUGUGCGUAAUUAACACUUAUUUUAAUUACAUGUAUAACAAACUUGUAACCAAGAGGUAUUAACGUUGUUUCAUUGGACGAUAAUGCAUCUUUCAGUGAAAGACUCGCGCGGACCAUUGUUUCAUUAAUGAAAUCGAUAUUAGGUGGUGGAAGUAUGCCAUUAUUCGCCACUAAAUUAAUAUUAUGCAGCAUCAGAGUUAUUGCAGUUAACAGAUUUGUUCCGUUAGAUACACUCGUUACAUUCAUAUUCGGUUAGUUUUGCACUCUCAACUCCGUGUAAAAAUCACAAAAAUUAAAUUUUAUUAUACACAACGUUAACACGUAACGUCGAAUAUUCAACUGACAGUGAACGUGUGCACAUCUUGCAAUUAGAACGAUUCUAUAUGGAGCGAGGGAUCGACUUCCUAUUGGGUGAAUCUACGAUAAGGAACAUCCGGUUCUUUACUGAUAUGUCGAAUAUUAAUAAUUAUACAGCGUUUCAUUAAACGGAGAUAAAUAUACGUGACAAUCGAGACACA